rnacentral:rRNA from 1 species
CUGCCUGCCACAGCCGGAUAAUCGGGAGAAAUUCCGUCUAAUACGGCAUAAUGCAUCGACGGGACAUCCUGUUGGUGCCAAAGGUUAAUUCCGGUGGCGGAUGGGCAUGCGUCGCAUUAGUUAGUUGGCGGUGUAACGGACCACCAAGACGACGAUGCGUAGGGGUUCUGAGAGGAAGGUCCCCCACACUGGUACUGAGACACGGACCAGACUCCUACGGGAGGCAGCAGUGAGGAAUAUUGGUCAAUGGGCGGGAGCCUGAACCAGCCAAGUCGCGUGAGGGAUGACGGUCCUAUGGGUUGUAAACCUCUUUUGCCGGGGAGCAAAGUGCCGCACGUGUGCGGUUUGGAGAGUACCCGGAGAAAAAGCAUCGGCUAACUCCGUGCCAGCAGCCGCGGUAAUACGGAGGAUGCGAGCGUUAUCCGGAUUUAUUGGGUUUAAAGGGUGCGUAGGCGGACGCUUAAGUCAGCGGUAAAAUUGCGGGGCUCAACCUCGUCGAGCCGUUGAAACUGGGUGCCUUGAGUGGGCGAGAAGUACGCGGAAUGCGUGGUGUAGCGGUGAAAUGCAUAGAUAUCACGCAGAACUCCGAUUGCGAAGGCAGCGUACCGGCGCCCUACUGACGCUGAAGCACGAAGGCGUGGGUAUCGAACAGGAUUAGAUACCCUGGUAGUCCACGCAGUAAACGAUGA